GGUCUUUUUUAGUGUAAUGUAUUCUUUCUCUUUGAGCCUUCGAACAUACUUGAAGUCUUUUAUCAGGGUAUUCCAAAAAAGUAGUUUCACCUGGGGUGAAUCUGUUUAGACAUUGUUUGCACUCUUUCUUAGCAUAGAUUUCUUCCCCCCACAAUCCACAGGUGAGUUUAGCAGUUGCCUCCAUGCAGCUCCUGCCGCUUUGGUCUUUAUUCUAGAAUCAGGUCUGCUGACAUUCAGUAAUCUGGGAAUAUCACAGAGCAGGCAGUCAACAGGAUUGUGUCAAUUACCUGUUCUAAAUUGGGGGUGGGUGGGUAGUCCAAGACCUCCCACCGUCUGCCUGGGUCUGGGUCCUAAUAAAAGUCUGCCAUCCAGCGUGUGUGCAGGCCGGGUUCCAGUCCGGCUCCCUCCCAGCAGUGAGCCUGACUUUGGUUCCGGUCUUGCAUGCGGUGCUUCCAGUACUCUCUACUCCAUAAGCCCUAACAGCCAGUAGCUUCUGUUUCUGCAGUGGAGCCCAGCAAGCUUUUGGCUUCAGCCCUGCCUCACUACUUUGCAUUUUUACUCCAUUGCUGGUCCACAGAAAUAUUCAUCUUGUUUUGGGGUCAGUGUGUUUUCCGUUUUCUGGCUUUUACCUUUUCUAGAUCACUGUUGUUUGGGGGCCAAAGUGGGCAUCACUUAACUGGAACACUGGUGCUCCACCUGGACUCCUCCACCUCCUCACCCUUCCCUCCUUCCCUUGCCCUAUCUCCCUUGAGUACCUCUUCUGCCCUCUUGUCCCCUACCUCUCUGGAAUCUUGCUCCCUUUCUCGCCCACAUUUCUCUUCUGAACCCCAGCUUGCAUCCGCCUCUCACACACUUGCAGGCACUCUGUGCCUGCGCCUGGCGACACCUGCAUGGACAUGGAGCCUUUCAUUCACUUACAUCCACUCCUAAUGGACCCUUUGUAUUCUGAACCCCUCAGUGGCGAGGACACCCAUACCCACAGCCCAUAUCCAUAGCUGUGCCACCCAACUGCUCUUAAGGCAACCAUAAUCACUUGGCAGCAAGCAGGGGAAAACAUUUAAAGACCUACAAGAACUUAGAAAAUUUACUGCCACUACAGGAAACAUGAGUAAAUAAUAAUACUGGGAGGAGUACAGGAUAAAUUGGGAUUUAUGUUCCUGGGAUGAGGAAAGCUCUCCUAGCCAUGACAAGAAAUCCAGGUUUCUUAAAAAUGAAAUCUGAGGAACAUUAAACUUUCAUGCAAUAUUAGAAAAAAAACCGAGUUUGUAAAGACAAACUAGGAAAACAUUCACCGAAGUCUAAUUUCCUUAAAAUAGCGGUGGCUUAAAAUCAUUAAGGAUUUGACAAUCCGAUAGUAAAACGAUGAGGCAAGAGCAGGCAACCCCAAAAGACAAAAGACAAAUACUCAGGAAACUGAACACUUGCCAAUCCUCACUAAAUACAAAACAACAAAAAACAAUGAUGUAAUUUCUUUUUGCUAUCCGGACUGGCAAAUUUGUAAAAAUUGAGAAUAUAGAGGAUUGGCAAGCAGGUAAGAACAUAGAGGUGUUUUUAGAUCACUGCAACAAUGUAAGUUGGUAAAAACUUUUCGGCAGGGGACAUUGGGAAGGUAUUAAAGUUUUAAAUGUCCCCACUCUCUGACCCAGCAACUGUACUUCCAGGAAUAGAUCCUCCAGCGACUUUCACAGGGCAGAGGUGAGCGAGGCUGGGCACUGUGGCACCGUGGGCAGCACAAUAGAGUGGAACCUUGCCAUGCCUGUCACUAGAGAAGCCAUGAAAUAAAUGCUGGGGCAGCUAAUGCUCAAUGACGCCAUCAUCCAAAGAGACGUAGAUCUGCGUGCUGCACGUGUCACAUGUCCAACAUACCGGACUCCUGGCUUCUGUGAACGUUCUCAUCUGCUGGGGGAAUCCAGCCUCUCCCAGAAAACAAAGUCAGCACCAACCCCAGCUGGACUCCCCGAACCAUCUGAGCGUCCCGUGCGGGAGCACUGCUCUCGCCAUCCGGAGCCUGGCGAACAGGCACAUUCUCUGCUCACCGCGGGCACACACGUUGGUGGUCACCAGCACCUUCUCUUUGCCCUCUCGGAAGCGCUCGAUCACCGCAGCCCUCUGCUCCACCAUCAUUUCGCCGCUCAGCAGAGCCACCUGGUGGCCUUCUUUGGAGAGCUCUGCUGCCAGCCAACUAGCCGUUUUGCGGGUCUGGAGUGAAAAGAAUGGUUUUAAAUGGAGAUACCUGUAAAAAUAAAAACAAAAACAAACCUGCAAAAAAGUGGCUUGUUUCCAUUAAAGUACGUGAAAGCCUGCUGAGUUCAGCCACCAGGGUAGGCUUACCAAUUUUACAAAGACAAUUUUAGCCAUGUGAAUUUUUUUUGGAUGAAUUACUUAAAUCAUCUUAGUGUUCAGCUAGGAAGAGUGUGGUAGGAGCCAAAUAUCUUCAUUCUCAAAUAGUCUAUAUUCUUAAUGUUAUAUAAUCAUUUCAUUGGAUGUUAUCUGGAGUUUUUCCCAAGGUAUGUCUAAGAGGUGGGACCAAAGAAAAGUUCAAUGCUUCACAGUCUUUCCCUCAUAACUCAUUAUAGUCUGAGGAGAAUAUGCCCUGGGGCAGGUGGAGGUGCUUCAUCAUCUCCUUUCUGGCCACACAGAGGACGCCCAGUCCUCCUCAGCACUGAGGUGGAGCUGGCUGAAGGGAGGGCCAGGCACACCCUCCAGUGGAGCUCCUCCCCCCGCAGGCCUGCUGCUGCCACUGCUACUCACGUGGCAGAAGAUCAUGGCCUGAGCAAUGGUGAUGGCCCCGUAGAGGUUACACAAGGCCUGGAACUUCUCAUCUCGGUUACUGCACAGGACGUAAUACUGCUUGAUGGUGUCCAACGUCUCCUCCUCACGCUUCAGUUUGAUAAUGUUUGGGUCUGGGACCACUUUCUGGGCAAAUUUCCAUACAGAGUCUUCAAAGGUGGCAGAGAAAA